AUGGCUUACCAAAUCCAGCUACUAUUUGCCCACCUAUACCUGGCACUGAUAGCUAUCCUGUUGCUUCCCAUGGUGUCUGGCGACUGGAGUGGCUCUGACCAGCUCCGCCUAAGAUGUGGCGCCACCAGCAGUGCCACUGAUUCUGAUGAUCGAACAUGGGAUGGCGACGCUAACUUCAGGAAGGUACCUCUUCCUGGCUUUUCAGCUAAUGCGUCAUACCUAGACCCCUCGCUUCCUUCCGCAGUACCUUACAUGAAUGCUCGCAUCCUCAGUUCGAAUUUCACAUAUUUUCUUAGGGCUGGCCCUGGCGGCAUGUUCCUUCGGCUCUAUUUCUAUCCAACUUCUUAUGGUAAACAUUCAGCUGUGGAUGCUUCGUUUAGUGUCACUGCAGGACUCCAUCGUCUUCUGAGUCACUUUAAUCCUUCCCAGACUGCUCAGGCCAUGGGUCGCACUUACCUCAUCCGUGAAUACUCCUUGAAUAUUACUUCACGUGGACUUAACCUCACAUUUUCCCCAUCACCAAACCACACUGGGUCUUAUGCAUUUGUGAAUGGCAUUGAGAUUGUGCCCACCCCGGACAUUUUCACGAUACCAGUGCCAAGAUUUGUGAAUGGUGGGUUCCCAGAUCUAAUCCCGAUUUCCUCUAGCAUAGGCCUUGAAACAAUGUACCGCCUUAAUGUUGGGGGUUCGACACACUCUGCAUAUUAUGACCCUGCCUCCUACCGUUCAUGGGAAGAUGACUCCCCCUAUAUUUAUGGAUCUUCACGUGGCAUGGCUUUUUCCAAAGAUAGCAGUGUCACAAUCAGUUACCCGCUUAGUAUGUCGGGGUGCAUAGCACCGCUCAACGUCUAUUGGACAGCAAGAUCUAUGGGGAUAAAUGCACAUAUCAACAUGACGUACAAUCUUACAUGGAUUUUGCCAGUCGAUGCAGGGUUUUACUACCUUUUGAGGUUCCAUUUCUGUGAGAUAGGGUAUGAAGUAACCAAGGUAAACCAGAGGAAUUUCUUCAUAUACAUUAACAACCAGACAGCAGUGCAGAUGGAUGUCAUUCUCUCGAGCGGAGGAACUGGUAUACCAGUUUACACCAACUACAUCAUUGUCACAGUUGGUCAUGGUCAGACAGAUCUGUGGGUAGCACUCCACCCUGAUCUCAGUACCCUUCCAGAAUAUUAUGAUGCAAUUCUGAAUGGACUGGAGGUCUUCAAGCUGCAGGAUAACAGCAACAACAAUCUUGCUGGCGUCAACCUUACGCUCAAGAAAAAUCAUGAUGGGACAGAAUCUCAUGGUCAAAAUAAAACAUAUAAAUCCUCCAAAUGGACACAGAGAAUCCCAGCAAUCGCUGGAGGUGGAGCUGCUGUUGGUUUCUUGGCCCUGUUGGUUGCAUGUUUCUGUGUUAUGCACAGACGAAAGAGAACUAACUGCAAUCCUCCAAAUGGACACAGAGAAUUGCCAUUAACCACCUCACACACAACGGAUUUGAAGCUUUGCCACCACUUCUCGUUUAUACAAAUCCAGGAAGCCACCAACAACUUCGAUGAGGCCUUUCUCCUAGGCAAAGGUGGGUUUGGGAGUGUAUACCACGGUCAGAUAGCUGGUGGGAAGAAGGUGGCAAUCAAGCGUGGUAACCCGCUGUCCAGGCAGGGCAUCCAAGAAUUUUGGAAUGAAAUCAAUAUGUUAACCGAUCUCCGGCAUCGCCACCUUGUGUCACUAAUUGGCUAUUGCGAUGAGGAGUCCGAGAUGAUUUUGUUGUACGAUUACAUGGCCAAUGGGACACUUCAGGAGCACCUGUACAACACCAACAAACCACCAUUGCCAUGGGAGCACCGCCUUGUCAUAUGCAUUGGAGCCGGACUGGGGCUGCACUACCUGCACAUGGGUGCAAAACAGGCCAUCAUCCACCGUGAUGUGAAGAGUACUAACAUUUUGUUGGAUGACAAGUGGGUGGCAAAGGUUUCGGACUUUGGGUUGUCUAAGGCUAGUAAAGACGUGGACAAUACCCAUGUGAGCACUGCUGUGAAAGGCACCUUUGGAUAUCUAGAUCCUGAGUACUUCCGCAGGCAGCGACUCACCAACAAAUCAGAUGUAUACUCCUUUGGGGUUGUUUUGUUUGAGGUUCUGUGCGCACGUCCAGCAAUUGACCCUGAGCUUCCCGAGGAGCAAGUGGGCUUGCGUGAUUGGGCGCUGUCUUGCCAGAGGAAAGGUGUGCUUGGUGAGAUCAUCGACCCCUAUCUGAAGGGCAAAAUCACGCCCCAGUGCUUCAGAAAAUUUGCAGAGACUGCGGAGAAAUGUGUUGCUGAACGUAGCAUAGAUAGGCCAUCUAUGAGUGAUGUUCUGUGGAGCCUCCACAUCGCACUGCAGCUGCAUGAGGAUGACUGCAAUCUCUCCAAGGGGACACCAUUGUUGAACAUGUCAUCACUCAUGGCGACCAGAGUGCGACCAUCUUCAGGUUCAGCAAUGAGCAUCUCAGGACAGAAAGUUGUAUUCUCAGAGAUCAUGCAUCCAGAUGGCCGAUAA
rnacentral:rRNA from 1 species